rnacentral:rRNA from 1 species
ACGCUCGACACCUACGGGAGGCAGCAGUGGGGAAUAUUGCACAAUGGGGGGAACCCUGAUGCAGCGACGCCGCGUGAGGGAAGAAGGUUUUCGGAUUGUAAACCUCUGUCCUUGGUGACGAUAAUGACGGUAGCCAAGGAGGAAGCCACGGCUAACUACGUGCCUGCAGCCGCGGUAAUCUGAGCGGGCUGGCAAGGC